UACGUAGGGUGCGAGCGUUGUCCGGAAUUAUUGGGCGUAAAGAGCUCGUAGGCGGUUUGUUGCGUCGGCCGUGAAAACCUGCAGCUUAACUGUGGGCCUGCGGCCGAUACGGGCAGACUUGAGUUCGGUAGGGGAGACUGGAAUUCCUGGUGUAGCGGUGAAAUGCGUAGAUAUCUGGAGGAAUACCGGUGGCGAAGGCGGCAUCCUGGACCGGCAUUGACGCUGAUGAGCGAAAGCUAGGGGAGCAAACGGG
rnacentral:rRNA from 1 species